rnacentral:rRNA from 1 species
GCCGAAUGCAUCUANAUUAUGAGUUGAUCAUGGCUCAGAUUGACACGCUGGCGGCAGGCCUAACACAUGCAAGUCGAGCGGAUGAUGGGAGCUUGCUCCCGGAUUCAGCGGCGGACGGGUGAGUAAUGCCUAGGAAUCUGCCUGGUAGUGGGGGACAACGUUUCGAAAGGAACGCUAAUACCGCAUACGUCCUACGGGAGAAAGCAGGGGACCUUCGGGCCUUGCGCUAUCAGAUGAGCCUAGGUCGGAUUAGGCUAGGUUGGUGGGGUAAAGGUCCUUAGCCGAAGGGGCGUACGGGNUCCGGUAACGUGGAUCAUGAGAGNAGGUAUGGAGU